UUUCAGGGGAGAUCUUUCUUCCCUUUACAACCAUCAGAAUCUCAGUAAUCUAUUUUUAUUCUUUCCUGAGUCCAAGUUACUCCCCAACCCCACCUUAAAUACUGCAUUUGGGACCAAUAAGCUAAACAUCACAAUCAAGGGCAACAGGGGGUUGUUUAUUCCACUGUGCCUGAAAGGUCUGGUGUAUAAAACACCUUCUGGGUGCAGAACAGAUGCUCUUCAACUGAGCCAUGAUCCUUCCCUUCCCCUUUGUCUCUGAAGCCUGAUCCAGUAACCCCACCCUCACCCCCACCCUCAUAUUUGUCAAGUCCCUGAAACAUCAUUCUUUCAAGAGACGGGAUUUCUUCUGAAUAGCUGGCUAUGAAGUCAGGAGGAACAAUCAAUAGGGAAGUGUAGCAAGUAGACCUGGAAUGACAACACUGCUUCUGCUGCUGCCUCUUGCAACCUAUGGGAUGCAGCAGAGGACUAAAUGCCCACUGAAUCUGAUCAGGGAUCAAGAUUUGGCUGUGAAUUUUUACAAGACAGGAGACCACCUCAUUAGUGGAAUUGUAUCUUCACAAAUGAUUGGAGGUCAAUAUCCAUUCACCUUUACCAGCACUCCCUCAACACAAUUUGAGUAGUAAGUAAUGCUGCCUUCAGGAAUGUUUUUUCAGCAGGAGGUAAUCAAGACUCAGUUCCGACACCUCCCUGGUUUUCCUCAAGCACCUGGUAGAAAAUGAUAUAUGAAUAAAUGAGUCAUUGGUCUGAUCCAGCAGGCUAUUCUUCAGAAGGUCGGCGGUUCGAAUUCCCGUGACGGGGUGAGCUCCCGUUGCUCGGUCCCUGCUCCUGCCAACCUAGCAGUUCAAAAGCACGUCAAAGUGAAAGUAGAUAAAUAGGUACCGCUCUGGCGGGAAGGUAAACGGCAUUUGCGUGCACUGCUCUGGUUUGCCAGAAGCGGCUUAGUCAUGCUGGCCACAUGACCCGGAAGCUGUACACCGGCUCCCUCGGCCAGUAAAGCGAGAUGAGUGCCGCAACCCCAGAGUUGGUCACGACUGGACCUAAUGUUCAGGGGUCCCUUUACCUUUUUUAAGAGAAUUGGAGAGUAGGUAGCAAUACAUUCAUAUAGUCAGUGCUAUUUUUCUAGAAAAAGAGGUGCCAGAACUCACCACUAAUGUUCCAGGCACUACUCAAUAUCUCAAGUCCAAGGUCACUGCCCUUCUUGUCAGUUCCAACAUCAAGUACACAGUCAUUUGGGGUGUCUAGAAAUGUCACCUCUUUGCCAUGACUGGAAAACAUACUGUAUGUAGCCAGUCUACGUAAGGGUAGUUGAAGUGACCAGUUAUCACAACGUCUCUUCCCUUUUUGAUGCUACACUGAUUCAUUCAUCAUCUGAAGGUCCCAUUGAGCAUUUUUAUCACUUUUGGGGGCCUAUAUCACCACCUACAAAGAUUCUGUGAAGGUGUACAAUGCUUUCAAUAUUUCUAGUUUCCUGGGCUCAAGGCUUUCUUUGAAAUACAGAGUAAUACCACAUCUGGAAUGCCCUUCUGGUUUAUAUCCAGAGAUAACCAUGGCCCACUGGUUCUCUCCAUUCCACCCAAUUUCCCUUGUGCUCAGUAUAUCCAUGUUGUCCUCUAAGACCAAGAACUUCAGUUCACCCAUCUUGGCUUGGAGGCUUUCAGCAUCCAACCCAUCAAUCCAUAUUUGUCUUCUAGGAAGUUGAGACUACAUUUCCCCUUUUCAUUCUUAUCCACAUGCCCCAGCACUAUCUACCUCUCUAUCCUACCUAGAAAUUCAUCUUACAGACUGCAUGAUUUGUUGUCGCUGGUUCAGCCCCUAUUUUAUUGUACCCCUAAUAAAUAAAUAUCUCCUAUCUUAUGUCUCCAGACUGAGGGAGCGUCUCAUUCAUUGGGAUCAAAUACAACAGGGAACUCUGGAUAGGAGCAUAACAUUUUAAAAAAGCAACAAACACCACCUUUGCUAUUAAAACUGGGAGAUGAAAUUGAUUGAAACUAGGAUGGGUCUUUUUGGGGGCUGUAAACCAGAAUGUCAAUGCGAGGGGACCUGUGAUUUAUUUCAUUUAUUUAUUAAAAUAUUUCUAUAUUUCUUUUCAUUUGGUGAAAAGCAGCGUUUCAAUGCAUUUUGCAUUGCGAAAUAAGUUUUAAAAUUCAGCCAUGCUCCCCAAAGCAGAACUUGUUUUCUCAAAGGUAGAAGAAGCUGUGAGAUGUGUUUGAGUUGCAGAUUUUCAUUCGUAAGCAAAAUGCAAUUCAAACAUAUGUUUGAAACAGGAGCAGGACACCUGAUUAGAAGAAAUUGUAUUCAAUUAAAGUAAUUUGGUUUGAUUUGUAAUACUUUGGAAAAGUAAUGAAAUUUUUUUUUUAAAAUCCCAAUAAGAACAGUCAAAAAGAAAAAAAACUCAUUCCCUCAUUGCCUCUCUCAGAAUAUCAGGAAAGGCUGGAUACUGUGGUCAAGAUCCAUAGCAUGAAAAUCAGGGAGUUUCACACUCUCAAUUUGAAAUUAUUUUCUAGAAGUUCAUAGAAUUAGUGUCUCUGGUUUGAGUCAUUGCCCUUGCUCGGAGUUGGAAGAAAAACUGGUUCUCUCAUGGAUAAAAUUGAAUAACAACAACAACAAUAAUAAUGCAACUAUUAUGUAUUUUGGAUUCUCAUUUUGUGUUUUUAUGCUGUGAACCACCCUGUGAUGUUUGCAUGAAAUGUGUUCAACAAAUUUAAUAAAUAAAAAAAAUUGAACUGACACAGUACCCUCCCCCAAGUUGGUUUGAUGGGGGAGUCUGACAUGUUUAUUCUUUUCCACCUGCCAUUCAGGAGAUCAAUCAUAACCCCAGACUCUUAGCUAACAUCACCCUGGGCUACAGCAUCUAUGAUACCUUUUUCGAGGCAAGAACGACUUCUGAUGCCCUGACAGACCUCUUUUCUGGAGGGAAAAUCAACAUUCCCAACUACAGCUGUGGAAGAUGGAAGAUGCCACUGGCUGUUCUUGAAAGGGCUGAAUCUGACACCUCCACACAUAUUGCAAGCAUGUCAGGUAUCUACAAGAUCCCACAGGUAAGAACUGGGUUGAUGUCAAACAUGCCCGGCAACAUUUGCCACCUCAUAAAAAUGCAAGUUUGUUUUCUUUUCCCCAUUAGCAAAACAAUAUAACCUAUGAUAAAUUAUCAUUAUGUUAUUCCACCCCAUUCAUUUCGGUGCAGAAAAAAUGCAGUGCAAAUGGCAGGGCAUGAAUUUCAUACAGAAUGUGGACUGAAAGCAACAACAAUAACUGGUUUGAUAUUUAUUAUGGACAUGCCUUGAAGGAGCAAAGAAUGCUCAGAUGUGCAGCUCGUAUCAAACAGGAGUUGUGUGUUUAGUACUAUGGGGCCCAUUUUAGGGAACCCCCUUCCAGCUGACAUCAGAUAGAGCCCCACCCAAACUUCCAGUGAGGCACUUGGGGUCUGGGGGUCUGUAAAAGCCCCAAAUGAAUGAGACAUUGGGGUUUUGUUAAAAUCCUUGGUUCAUGAUGUUAGAAUCCUUGGUUCAUAUUAGUUCCCUUUUGUUCAGAAAAGACACGUAGUCCAAUUGCUGCUUGGCUGCUGGAGACACCAGAUAAGAAUGGCAUUUGUGGAGUAAACAUCUGGAGAAGUAAGUUUUUGGGAGUCUGGCCGUUGUGAGCCUGGCUGUGCCAGCUUACCAAAGACAACACACCCUUAUGUAGACUUGUUAUCUAUGUAAACAUAAAUCUCAGGCUACAAUUCUCUCUUUUAGUAUAUAGGCUUCAGAACUUUAGUAAGAAGCAAGGGGCCCUCAAAGGUCUGCCAUGACAAGGUGCAGACUAGGCAUGGCAUAGAGUUGUAUCCAAUGAGUGUUUUGCCAGCUACCCUCUGCAGAUGUCUGGGUUUUUUUGACUGGAUUUUAUAUGAAUUCUUUGUCUGAAAACCCUAUUUAGGUGGAUAACACCCCAGGGUUCAGCCUUUGGGGAAAACAUCCCGCUGAAUCUGUUGGUUUUACACAAACCAAUAAAUACUGGAUUCUCUCUUCUCCUCAUCUCCUGUGUCUCAUUGGCCAGGAAAAGCAAUAUUUUUGCUGGCUGCAUGAGGGCCUAAAGAAGACUUUUUCAAAAAAAAUUGCAGCAGUUUUAUUUUCUCAAUUUUUUGUAUUGCAUCUCUGAAAACUGUUGCCGUUAAGCAGUUAUAUAAAUAGCUUAAAUGAAGUAUAUAGAAGUACAGUAUUCAGUCAUUGCCCUGAAAAACAAAACCCCAGUCUCUUCUCCUUUCCUCACCAGCUUAGUUAUGGCUUCGUUCUUCAUGAUAAAGUCCAGUCCUCUUUUGUCUACCGCAUGACACCAAAGCAAGAGACUCAGUACCAGGGGAUGGUCCAAUUCCUCCUGCAUUUCAAGUGGACAUGGAUCGGGCUCUUUGCUCCAGACAAUGACAAUGGAGAAAGGUUCCUGAGUACUUUGACACCCCUGAUGAUCAGCAACGAAAUCUGUGUUGCCUUCACAAAAAGAGUACUACUACAAACUUGGCUGUGGUUACCCCAGGAAGCCCCUGCCAUGUGGAGACAAGUCAAUGUGUUUGUUUACUGUCCAGACUCUCAAUAUGGACUUCUUAUAAUCAUGGAGGUACAAACCUUACUUGAAAGGGUAGGAACUGGAGGGAAAGUCUGGAUAAUCACAGCUCUUCAGAACACAAUCUUGUUUCAUGAUACCGAAUCCUUCUGGUAUGCUCAUGGAUCUUUCUCCUUUGUAAUGAAGACCAAAAAAAUGAAAACAUAUAAAUACUAUGAGCCAGUAGACUUUCCUACUCGACCCGCUUGGAACCUUGAAUUUGAUUGUUCAUAUUCAAAGCUUGCCUUGUCUGUGAGGGGUUGGAAAAGAUGCAGGGAGAAGGAGAAUCUGAAGAUGCUGCCCUGGGGAACGAAUGAAAGAAUCCAAUCCCAAGACAGCUAUGUGAAUUACUUGAGUAUCCAUGUUGUGGCUCAGGCCUUGAAUGCGGCAUAUUCAUCCAGAUCAAAUCAAGUGUUGACGGUGGGAAGGCUGGAACUUCCAAGGCUACAGCCAUGGCAGGUAUGUCCCUUCCCUUUAUCACAGCUACAGUGGUACCUUGGGUUAAGUACUUAAUUCAUUCCGGAGGUCCGUACUUAACCUGAAACUGUUCUUAACCUGAAGCACCACUUUAGCUAAUGGGGCCUGUUGGGUGUAGUGAAGGGUUAACCUUCUGUGUCUCGAGGCUGAGAGGAGGUGCGUACAAGGGAAGUACGCCAGGAUGUGAUGAAAGCAGCUUGGAAUGCUGUGAGCUGAGUGAAAAGUGAAAGCAGUUUGUUGCGCAGCUGCAAACUGAGAGAAGCACGCAGAGAAAAUGCAGCUUGAUUCUGCUGGCAGUUAUUGAUUGUAAAUAUGCUACUUUUGAGCAAAUAAAGGGAUAUUAGGACAGAAGAAACGUGUGGGACUUGUUUACUGCUCUUUCAACACACACCGCUGCGUAAUUUCUGCUAAUUGCUUUACGACCGCUACAAAGCCACCCUGCGUAAACAGAAGCUACAGAGGCUAGCAAGGGAAGCGUGGCUGGGUGCCGAACAAUAAAACAAUAAAUCUACCUAACAGGGCCUCCUGCUGCUGCUGCGCCGCCGGAGCACAAUUUCUGUUCUCAUCCUGAAGCAAAAUUCUUAACCUGAAGCAAUAUUUCUGGGUUAGUGGAGUCUGUAACCUGAAGCGUAUGUAACCCGAGGUACCACUGUAUAUGGAAUCAUCAUGACAGGAACUUAGAAAGCUGCCUAUUCAAACCAAUAAAGUAAUUUCUUUAAGAAGCAUUUUGUAUAUAUAUAUUGGAUGAGAUGUUUUAUUUAGAUUUUUUUUUUUAAGAUGCCCUUCAUCACAUUGAUGUGAUUCCACUGUGGUUUCCCUAAAAAGAUGUUGAGGCUGUGUGAAGAUUCACUAUGUGGAGUUUUUAGAGUUGGAAGCCAGUGUAGGUCUUUGCUAUUAAAACAUCAUUUUCCGAAAGAACGAAGUGGACUAACCUGAGAGAGAACAAAGACUGUUUUGUGCUUCUGAGUCCCCUCACGCUGCCCAAGAAUGAGCUCAUAACCAGGGGACUUGCUUAAGCUGCCUGUUCAGCUUACCCCUUUCAUGCACAUGAAAGGUUGAGACAGAAACUAUCCCACAAUUUUCUCCUGCUGGCAAAAAACCAUGACUGACACCCAUGCUCCUGAGGCAAGGGAAUCCUCCGAGAGUCAUGGAAGGGCAUCACUUUACUUUUCCCCCCAAAGUAGAAUGAGGGAACCUAAAAAAUCAACAUGGUGACCAUGAGCCCUGAUGAGAGAAGCUGUGAUCCUUAUUCAGGGGAGAUUAGGAUGCAGCGCAAGCCCAGCCAAAUAACCCAAAAUAGUUUCUUACUCUCUCAAUGCUGGAGUUUCCUCUUUCAUUCUAGCUUCAUCCUUUCUUGAAAGAAGUCCAGUUCAAUUCUAAUACUUCAGCUGAUGAACAGUACUUGGAUGAGAAUGGGGCACUGGCUGUAGACUUUGAUAUUGUGAAUUGGCUGAUGUUUCCUAACAACUCUCGUGGUAGAGUGAAAAUUGGGAGCAUAGAGAGACAGACAUCUUCAGAUCCAAAGUUCACCAUUAACCCGGAAGCAAUUGUGUGGGCCAAGGCAUUUAAGAAGGUAGGAGAAGUUAUAUGUGUAAUUUUAUUAAUUGUGACAUCUGCCAAACUCUGCCAGCUUGAUGACUAGAACAUAUAAGACUUUAAUUGCUAUCUUGUAGAUACUUCUCUGGAGCUCAGUCUCAUUGAGCUUAAUGGAGUCUGUUCUUGAUUAAGCAUGUAUAAGAUUUUAUAGUGAAUACAGAGACUUUCCAAAGCAGAGCAGAACAUUUUCCCACCCAAACUUGGUGCCCUCCAGAUACUGUGGACUACAACUAGCAUCUGCCUCAGUCAGAAUUGGGCAAAUAUAUCUGAGGGGCAACGGGUUGGGUAAGACUGGAAUGGAGUAAGUUCUGCUCCAUCUGUUUGGUAGAUCAAGAAAACAAAAUGAAAACAGUGGAGCUCAAGGUGGCCUGUGUAGUUGAAUACACAUUCAAAUAAAAAACCUAGGAGCAGAUACAAUGGCAGCAAUCUGAGGACUUUUGUUAUUGCUGCUGGUCAUAGGAGUGUUUUAUUACAGCUGUUUGCAUGGUUCUGAGAUGCUGGCAUUUAUUUAUUUAGGUUAUUGUUUAUUGUAUUUUUCAUGCUACCUUGUAUACAAAAAUGAGGCAGGGGUGUUAUAUAAUUACAAACAUCAAAGAGGUCUGUUUCUCUAACGAGCUGCUCUGCAAAAGAAAAACAAAACAAUAAUUUCCACAAAAUAGGGCCUUUAGGCCAUUGGAAACAGAUAUGCCUUCUGUUCAUGUCUAGACUAUUCCUCGCUCAAGAUGCACAGAGAGCUGUCAGCCUGGAUGUGCCAAGAAAAUUCAGGAAGGGAGGCCACAUUGCUGCUAUGAUUGUUCUCCGUGCUCAGAAGGCACAAUCUCAACACAGGAAGGUAGGACAGCACCUCAGGGGAAAGGGCCUUCAAUGGGAAGAUGGGGCAAAUAUUUCAGCCAGGCUCAGGCUGAUACUUGUAAUGGUACUCCAUUUUGACUACAUCCUUUCUUGACCUCACCUAUGGGCCCACCUUUCCCCACAAAUGUAACAAGUUAGGAUUCUCAUUUUCUCUAUGCAGAUGCUAAUGAAUGUUUUAAAUGUCCAGAAGAUCAGCAUCCAAAUGAGGACCGGCAUCAAUGUAUCCCUAAAUUAAUUACCUUCCUGUGCUAUAAAGAAUAUUUGGGGAUCCUCCUGGCUUCUUCUGCCAUCUUCUUGUCCUUAAUCACAGGCAUUGUGUUUGGAAUCUUUAUUAAAUCCAGGAAGACUCCCAUCGUCAAAGCCAACAACCGAGACCUGUCCUACAUCCUCCUCAUCUUUCUCCUGCUCUCCUUUUUGUCCUCUUUCCUCUUCAUUGGACAACCUACAAAAGCAACCUGCCUUAUGCAACAAGUGGCCUUUAGCAUCAUCUUCUCAGUUGCUGUCUCUUCUAUCUUGGCAAAAACCAUCACUGUGGUUCUGGCCUUCCUGGCCGCUAAGCCAGGAAACAGGGUGAGGAGAUGGCUGGGGAAGGGUUUUGCACACUCUGUUGUCAUUUCCUGCUCCAGUGUCCAAGUUCUCAUCUGCACCAUCUGGCUUGGAGUCUCUCCCCCAUUCCCAGACUCAAACAUGCACUCCCAACCUGGAGAGAUCAUCCUGCAAUGCAACGAAGGAUCUGUGGCCAUGUUUUAUGGAUCCCUUGGCUACAUGGGCUUCCUGGCUGCCAUCUGCCUUACAGUGGCUUUCCUAGCCAGGAAGCUGCCUGGGGCCUUCAAUGAAGCCAAGCUGAUCACCUUCAGCAUGCUGGUCUUCUGCAGUGUUUGGGUGUCCUUUGUGCCCACCUACCUGAGCUCAAAGGGGAAGUACAUGGUAGCUGUGCAGGUCUUCUCUAUGUUGGCCUCCAGUGCUGGGCUUCUGGGCUGCAUCUUCAUUCCCAAGUGCUUUAUUAUUAUAUUGAGGCCUGAUCUUAAUUUGAAGGAGCACUUAAGAAUAAAAAAUUAACAUGGCAUUUGAUUCCUAGUACUGGGGAUAUGGGAAAAUCCCCCACUAGAAUCUGGACUUGACCACAACUUAUAGUGGGGAGUGAGUUUGUUAGUUUGUUAGUUUGUUUUGUUUGUUUGUCUAGAUCCCAGGCCCAUUGUUCUUCAGAAGGUGCCAGUAGACUUUAGAAUUAUUUCUGUAUGUGUGUCCAAGUGCUUUACUCCUACUGCAAUGUACAGCUUACCAGGAUCAUUGUCAGCUUUCUCUGUUGCCUUCACUUCAUCUGUUACUACACACACAUGCCUCUUUCUUUUAUUUAUUUGCUGCCUCCGUUUCCUCAGCAUGCUUCAAAAAAACCUCCUAGUAGCAUGUUUCUUGUGACAGUAAAAAUUUAAACUGGUUCAUUUGAGGAGGGUGGUUAUAUAUGUUAGAGGAACCAGAUAAACCUACUGGUGACACAGAGGUGACUGUGGUCCAUUGCUUUACAACUAAGUUAGUCGCUUACUCCAGACAAUGAUUUCCACUCCUCCUUUCUUCAAGCGAUUCCUAGUUGACCUCAUUGACUGAUUAUUCACUGUUGAACUAAAUGGAAUGUCCAGCCAACCAGACAGAGAUUUGCCUGCUCUUCUGUUUGCCUGUCCCCACUUACGAAAUGCUAAAGCAGUCUCCCUCUCCUCUGCUGGAACCUGACACCUUGCAACCACUGCCAUACAUUCUCAUCCCAUUAUAAAAAUGCAUGUCCCAUUCUACUGGAAGGAGGCGGAACAUAUUUCAUGGUAGAUCAAAUGACAAACAUCCAGCAGCCAUGUGAAUCAACUGUACCCAGUUCCCAGCAGCCACUAUGGCCAAGGAUGAGGAGUGAUGGGAGGUGGAGUUGUGUAACAUAUUGAGAGAGCUUUUAUUGGUUAUGCAGAUUGAUGAAGAGGUUGUAUGGAUAGUACUGAUUACUAGGAGGAUGUUCAGGCAGGAGCAUACAUGCUAUAUAUAGGUUUGGUGAGGUUGCUGGAAACUUGCAGACUCUGCCCUUACGAAGAGAUCCAGACGGAGGCAAGGUGACAAUGGGUCUUUUCUGCAGUGGCCCCCUCUUUGUGGGAUGCUUUCCCCAAGUAGGCUGUCCUUGCACCUUCCUUACACAUCUUCUGGUGUCAGGUGAAAAAGUUUCUCUUCAACCAGGCAUUUGACUUUUUAAAUUUUUUGUAGGAGGGGGGUUAUUGGUUUGUUAUUCUCAUUUUGUAGUUUUCUGUAGUGAACAACCCUGUGAUCUUUUGAUAAAGGACGUUGUACAAAUUUAAUGAAUAAUUAAAAAAUUCAGAAAUCAGUAAUUUGUGCCACUGACAUGUGUUAUUAACAUAUAAUGAAAAAGUACACUAACAACUACAUGAAGACUGUAAUAUUUGAAAUGUCUAGAAUGAAUAGACAUUUUUUAAGAAAGCUUUUGGAAUGAAAAUAUAUUGGGCAAACUGAUCUUUAUGAAGCUUAAACUACAAAGCUGGGAGAAAGCUUGGUACAUUUAAGGUUUUGAAUGAAGACUUUGGUUUUGGACAUGGAAUGGACAUUUAUUUUAGGUGGUCAGAAAGAAUGUGACUGGUCUUAGCAGAAGUAAAGUAGUUGGACUCAGACAAUAAGAAAGGGCAACUUGGCAAAGGUUUUGUGCCAUCUACAGAAUUUGGAAUCCACGUGUUCAUGGCCCCAUGUAGGUAUGUCUUGCUGUCUAUGACAACCAAAAGGGAAUGGGAGCAGUUUGACAUCACAAAUGAUGCUUGAUGUUAGGAAACCAGCUUAUUAUAGACUAAGGGGCUGUCUCCUCGUCAGAAACUGUUGGCUCAUAACCAGAGUCCCAUUCUCUGGAAACAUCUUUGCUCUUUGAAUGCUUCCGUUUAUCUUGAUCUCUGUUGCUCUUCGGUCCAGAUUUCUUCUUGUUUUAGGAACUCUGAUUCUUACAAUAAACCUCUUGUAUAACCCAUUUCCUGUGUCUUCUUGUAUGGUCCUUAUAGCUGGCAAUCUCCUCACAAAUUAAGAAUCCGCAUUACAGCCCAGCUGGAGGACUUACCAAAGCUCUUAACAGCUUGCCAUACUCCCUAUAUGGCCACUCAACUGAUUCAAUUUGCAGAACCGGCAACGGGUUAUCGGUGCCAUAUGAUACUCGUUCUGUCCUGGUAAUAAACCCAUCAUUUAGAGUAGCAGAAUGUAUAAUUUGGCAUACCUUGUCCUUUGACAUCGACCCUUUAUUAUUUUUUGGUGCCUGGGAAAACCAUAUUUAUUCAGGGAAGCCUGUACAGAUAAAUAUAAGCAGACACGACUUUUAACCUAUUUAUAGCUUAACUGCUUAUUUUAAGUAUAUUUUGCAUUUAUUUAUUAAGCAUUUUAAAUUUUUGUUUUGUUCUUGUAUAAAUAGAGGGUCUAUUAUAAAGUGUGCUUAAAAUAAAAGCAGGUGUCCAGAUAAAUUUACAGAAGCAGAAAGGGCUAUCAAAGGCUCCUAGGCCUUACUGAUAUCUCCUCUCUCCACUGUUGGAGAGAGGGUGCCUUUGGAGAGAGGGUGCCAUGUAGGGAAAGUGCUUCUGCCCUCAUUUUCUGCUUGUGGUCUUCCUUUGGGGGCAUCUGCUUGGCCAUUGUAAGAACAGGAUCAUUGACUUCAUGGGCCCUUGGCCUGAUCCAAUCUCAGGGCUAUUGUGAUGUCAAUAAUGUUCAGCCAAACUCACCUUUCUCCUUCAACCACGUCAGUCUACUUAGUAAAGAUGUUUACUUCCUGCUCUGCACCUGCUCCUAUAGUUUCAGGGGAGAUCUUUCUUCCCUUUACAACCAUCAGAAUCACAGUAAUCUAUUUUUAUUCUUUCCUGAGUCCAAGUUACUCCCCACCCCCACCUGAAAUACUGCAUUUGGGACCAAUAAGCUAAACAUCACAAUCAAGGGCAACAGGGGGUUGUUUAUUCCACUGUGCCUGAAAGGUCUGAUGUAUAAAACACCUCCUGGGUGCAAAACAGAUGCUCUUCGACUGAGCCAUGAUCCUUCCCUUCCCCUUUGUCUCUGAAGCCUGAUCCAGUAACCCCACCCUCACCCCACCCUCAUAUUUGUCAAGUCCCUGAAACAUCAUUCUUUCAAGAGACGGGAUUUCUUCUGAAUAGCUGGCUAUGAAGUCAGGAGGAACAAUCAAUAGGGAAGUGUAGCAAGUAGACCUGGAAUGACAACACUGCUUCUGCUGCUGCCUCUUGCAACCUAUGGGAUGCAGCAAAGGACUAAAUGCCCACUGAAUCUGAUCAGGGAUCAAAAUUGGGCUAUGAAUUUUCACAGGCCAGGAGACCAGCUCAUUAGUGGAUUCAUAUCUUCAAAGGUUAUUGGAGGUCAAUAUCCGUUCUCCUUUACCAGCACUCCCUUAACAAAAUUUGAGUAGUAAGUAAUGCUGUUUAAUUGUAUUUCUAUCUACGCUCCAAUUCUUUUACAAACAAACAAAAGAAUUGCCUGCUGCAUCUGAUUAAUUCCGCAUUUAUUGAAACAUCCUUUUCCCACAGUGCCCUAUCAGGUGCUUGUGGAGAAACUGGGAUCAGAAUACUCUUCUUCUUCUUCUUCUUCUUCUUCUUCUUCUUCUUCUUCUUCUUCUUCUCUGGCAAAAGCAGGGAUCAGAAAAUGACCACAAACACACUCUCCCCUCCUGUGCCUUCCAGAACUGAUAUUCAGAAGCAUUUCCAUGAAUUUGCCUUAUCUUCUUUUAAAGCUAACUUGGCCACCAUCACUGUCUUCCAGGGGAGCAAGUUCCACAGCACUGUGCAAAGAAGUCAGUUUGCAUCUGUCCUGAAUAGUCUCCAGUUUUAGUGUUUUAAGAGAUAGAGAAAAUCGUUUAUCCCUUUUCUCCACAAUAUGCAUAAUUUUAAAAAAUCAUGUCCUGUCCUUUCUUGCUCACCGUUUCUCAACUAAAAAGAACAAAACAUUGCAAUGUGUCCUCAUUUAUUUUCAAUUCCUUUCCUGAUGAUCCAUAGCUCAGAAAUUCCCAUUUUUACAGCCACCUAACAUGGAUUUGACUACUAUGAUCCCAAGGUCUCACUCCUGGUCCUUCCCUCCCAGUUCAGUAUCCAUGAACGUGUAAAACUCUAGAUCAUUUAUGAACAAGAUAAAAAGCACAGGUCCCAAUACCGAUCCUCAGGGGACUCCACUUUCUACUACUUUCCAUUUGGAGAAUUGUCCAUUUAUUCCUGCAACUUAACCAGUUCCUGAUUCACAAGAGGACAUCUCUUCUUAUUCCUUGACUUCUAAUCUUGCAUAUGAGUCUUUGGUGACAUACUUUGUCAAAAGCUGUUUGAAAGUCUAUGUACACCAUGUCAACAGGAUCACCAGACAAAUUUUCAGUUUUUCAAAAGAAGUCUUCUUGCUUCAAAUAGCUUCUUUGGCUGUACUCAUUAACCAAGCUGAUAUGAUCUCGGCCCUCAUGGUAUCUUUCCUUAUUUGCUGUAUAUACUCAACUUGAGUCUCUACUACAGUGUUCUUAAACAACUCCAAAGUGUUUGGGAGCGAUUGACCCUCUUGAUUUUGCCUUUCAACUUCCUUUUUACCAAGCUUUGUGGUGUGUAUGCUUUGAUGUAUCUGAAUCAGCCCCUAUUUUCUGGUACUCCUGGUAAAUCAAUAUCUCCUUUUUUUUUGUUUGAAGAAGGAGGAAGCAUCUUGUUCAGUGAGAUCAAAUACAAUGGGGAAAUCUGAAUUGGAUAUAGUAGUGUUUUUUUUUAAAAGCAAGAAGCACCUCCUUUUGCUUUAAAUCAGUGAGAUGAAACUCACUGAAACUAUGCUAAGUUUUGGCUGGGGCUUUAAACGACAAUGUCAAUGCAUGGGGACCUGUGAUUUAAUUCAUUCAUUUAUUAAAACAUUUCUAGACAUUUCCCAUAAAUAUAACCCCUCCACAGACACCUCUGUGGUGAUGGUGAUGAUGAUGAUGGCCUUAAAAUAUCUCGUUCUUCUCCAAUAAAAGAGAAAGAACUAAACCAGAUAUAUAGUUGGGUUUUAUUAAGCGUAUUCGGCAAGCCAAAAUGACAGAGAUGUGGAACGGAGGACGGGAGAGAUCAUUCUGUGAUAUUAUGGCAGUGGACAAAGCUGUAUUGUAACAUUUGAAUAAUUUUUUUUAAAAAAAACUAUGUCUUUUCACUUGGUGAAAAGCAGUAUUUCAAUGUGUUUUACAUUGCAAUUUAAGUUAAAAACAUUCAGUCAUGCCUUCCAUGAGGAACUUGUCUUCUCUAAGAAGCUGUGAGGUAUGUUUGAGUGGCAGCUUUUCAGUAAUAAGCAAUAUGAAAUUCAUUCUCUCAUUGUGUCUCAUGGACUCUUGGAGAAGGUUGAAUGCUGAGGCCACGAUCCUUAGCAUGAAAAUUGGAGAGUUUCCUAUUCUCAAUCUGAAAUGAUUUUCUGGAAGUUUAUCCAUGGAAUUAGCACCCCAGGUUUUUACUCAUUGCCCUAUGCUUGGAGUUGGAAGAGAGACUGGUUCUCUAGUGGCGAAAAGUGAACAGAAAGGUAACUCUCCUUCCCCUGUAUAAGGCAGGCUCCUCCUUUAUAGCUGGGUGCAAUGAUAGAUGGAAAGAAUGAUUUUCAGUGGGAAGUGCACAAUUCUUCCACCACGGUACAACAUAAUCUAUGUAACUGAAUGUGACUUCCAUUUUCUCUGAAUCAAGGGUGACUAUGUGACAUACUUUCUUCUGCAGCUGGAUGGCUGGGAAGGACUGGCACAUUCUUUCCUCUGCACUUGCCACUCAGGAGAUCAAUCUUAACCGCAGGCUCUUGCCCAACAUCACCCUGGGCUACAGCAUCUACGAUACCUUUUUCAAGGCAAGAACAACCUCUGAUGCUCUGACAGACCUCUUUGCUGGUGGGAAAAUCAACAUUCCAAACUACAUCUGUGGAAAACGGAAGACACCACUAGCUGUUCUUGAAGGGGGCGAAUCCGACAUCUCCAUGCAUAUUGCAAGCAUUUCAGGAAUCUACAAGAUCCCACAAGUAAGAAUUGGGUUCAAGUCAAACACAGCUGGCAACAUUUGCCAUCUUGUGAAAAACAAUACAAAAACCAAGUUUUUCCUUAUGAUAAUGAAUUUAUUGCUUACUUUACAUUGUACGUUGCUUUGAAACAUUGCUUUUCAUGCAAUGGGAAGCCAUACAAAGAUAUUUCAGUUUCGGGAUCAUUAGAAAAAAAGUGGAUUGGACAAAUUCAUGGAGGAGAGGGCUACUGAUGGCUGCUAGCCAGGAUGCAUAUUGCAGAGUUGGAGACACAGCCCCUGCUGCUGGCAUCUGUCUGGCUAAGUAUAAAAGGGAGUGCACCUCUGAAGCGAAGUCAAUCCACUGUGUUAGCAGAAUCAAAACCAGAUUCAUAAGGCCCUUAAUUAUUUGGGUCCAGGACAUCUCAAGAAUGACAUAAUCCCUUGUACAUGUCCCCAACCACUGAACUCUUGGGAGGAGUCACUCUUAGUGGCUCAGAUGAACAACUCGUUUCCAACAAGAGCCACAAUUGUGGAACUCAUUUCACAGAACUCUCUUCCAGCUGAGGUCAGACAAGGUUACUUAAAAACCUUCCGGAGCCUAAUGAAGACCUUUAUUUUUAACAGCAUGCAGUAGCCAGUUCAAAUGAAAUAUGAUCUUGUAGUUUUAACUUUUGUCUUUUUUAAAUCGAACCUUUGAAAACUGCUUAGAGUCCAUUCUCAUCCUGAGGUCAAGUUCUUAAGCCGAGGUACUACUUCCAGGUUAGCGGAGUCUGUAACCCGAGGUACCACUGUAUAAAUUGCUUAAAUAAAAAAAGUUUAUUUUAAAAAUAUCUGAUGUUUAUGCUAAUUAAAAAUUAAAUAUGUCAUAAUCUUUCACAUAGAAGUAAAGUAUUCAAUCAUUGCCCUGAAAAACAAAACCCCAGUCUCUUUUUCUUUCCUCACCAGCUUAGUUAUGGCUUUGUUCCUCAUGAUAAAGUCCAGUCCCCUUUUGUCUACCAAAUGACACCAAAGCAAGAGACUCAGUACCUGGGGAUUGUCCAACUCCUCCUGCAUUUCAGGUGGACGUGGAUUGGUCUCUUUGCUCCAGACAAUGACAAUGGAGAAAAGUUCCUGAGUACCUUGACACCCCUGAUGACCAGCAACAAAAUCUGUGUUGCCUUCACAAAAAGAGUACUACUACAAACUUGGCUGUGGUUACCCCACGAAGCCCCUGCCAUGUGGAGACAAGUCAAUGUAUUUGUUUACUGUCCAGACUCUCAAUAUGGACUUUUUAUAAUCAUGGAGGUACAGUCCUUACUUGAAAGGAUAGAAACUGGAGGAAAAGUCUGGAUAAUCACAGCUCUUCAGAACACAAUCUUGUUUGAUGAUAUUAAAUCAUUCCGUUAUGCCCAUGGUUCUUUCUCCUUUGUAAUGAAGACCAAAAAAAUGACAAAAUAUAACUGCUACGAGCCAAUUUCCUUUGAUCGUCUGAAAGUUUGGGGAAAAGCAUAUGUUUGUUCAUAUUCAAAGCAUACCUUGUCUGUGAAGGGUUGGGAGAAAUGCAGGGAGAAGAAGAAGUGGCUAAGGAUGCUGCCCCAGGAAAAGAUUGAAGGUAUCCAAUCCCAAGACAGCUAUGUGAACUACUUGAGUAUCCAAGCUGUGGCUCAAGCCUUGAAUGCAGCAUAUUCAUUCAGCUCAAAGAGGAUGUCGAUUGUGGGCAAAGGAGGCAGGUUGGAACUUCCAAGGCUACAGCCAUGGCAGGUAUAUCCUUUUCUUUUGCAAACUGAAAUUCAUUAUCCCAGCUAUAUGGAACCACCAUGAUAGGAAUUUAGGGAGCAGCCUUAAUACCAAAUCAGACCAAUAGACCAUGUAGUUCAGCAUUGUCUACACUGACUAUUAGCAGUAGCAAAAGCCAUUACAGAAAAGAUGCAAUAAAAUGUGUUACACAGUUAAAGGAAUUAAUAAAAACAGGCACUUUAUCAUAUAAGAGUUUUCUUCCCUGUAGAAUUAAAUUUAUCAUCCCUAGAAACAUUUCUCAUGAAACAGGCAGAACAGGCCACUCUUUCAGAGACGUAGCAGGAUAAAGGUAAUAUUUCUCAAUUUUGUUCACUUUGGUCACCCUGGAAAUGCUGAAGCAGAAUGAGAGGACCUAAUGAGCACCUUUGAGUCCUAGUUCUCUGGUCCUUAUUAAGAGGCUAUCGGGAUGCAUCAUGGUUUCAUGUUCUCUCAGUGCUGGAGUUUCUUCUGUUGUAGCUUCAUUCAUUCUUGAAAGAGGUUCACCUCUAUUCUAAUACUUCAACUGAAGGACAGUACUUGGAUGAGAAUGGGGCACUGGCCAUUGAAUUCGAUAUUGUGAAUUGGGUUCUGUUUCCUAAUAACUCUCGGGCUAGAGUGAAAAUUGGGAGCAUAGAGAGACAGAAGUCCUCAAAUCUGAAGUUCACCAUUAACUCAGAAGCAAUUGUGUGGCCGAAGCUGUUUAAGAAGGUAGGAGAAAUUAUGUUAUUCCCUAUGGCAUCUAUUAUUGUCUAAUAAUAUGUUGAAUAAGACAGUUGAGGCUUUGAUUGCAAUCUUAGACAUCCUUCUCUGGAGCUUAGUCCCAUUGAGUUUAAUGGAGUCUGUCUUGAGAAAACCUGUAUAAGAUUUCACAGUGAGUAGGAGACUUUCAGAAGCAGAGCAGAAGACCUUCCCCCAACUUGGUGCUCUCCAGAUAUUGUGGACUACAAGUCCCAUCUGCCAAGGCCGACGUUGGGCAAAUAUAUCUGAGGGCAACAGGUUGGGUAAGACUGGAGUGAAUUCUGCCCCAUCUGCUUAUUAGAUCAAGAAAACAGAAUGAAAACAGUGGAGCUCAGGGUGGUCUGUGUAGUUGAACACACGUUCAAAUAAAAAAAUUCUAAAUGAACAGCAGAGGUCAAGAUCUUUUCAUCCAGUUGAAAAAGGCUUCUCAAAACAGGAUUUUCUGCAGUUGAUUCGAAUAAGUGCAGAUAAGACACACAAGCAAUCUAGGCACCAUGUUCUGCACUAGGAGCAGCCUUUGCUGCCAACCUCAAUGGCACUGUGGAGCCUUGGGAGUAAAAUAGGAACCAGACAGCCCUCAGUCACAUCUGUGCAACCUAGCAGAAGAUACAGUGGCAGCAGUCUAAGGACUUUUGUUAUUGCUGCUGGUCAUAGGAGUGUGUGCGUGGUUCUGAUAUACUACCAUUCAUUUAUUUAGUUAGGUUAUUGUUUAUUGUAUUUUUCAUGCUACCUUGUAUACAGAAAUGAAGCAGGUUGUUAAAUAAGUAGAAACAACAAAGAGGUUUGUUUACUUGACGAGCUGCUCUGCAAAAGAAAACAAAAACAUUAAUUUUCAUUAAAAAAGGGCCUUUAGGCCAUUAGAAACAGACAUGCCUUCUGUUUAUGCCUAGACUAUUCCUCGCUCAAGAUGCACAGAGAGCUGUCAGCCUGGAUAUGCCAAGAAAAUUCAGGAAGGGAGGCCACAUUGCUGCUAUGAUUGUUCUCCGUGCCCAGAAGGCACAAUCUCAACACAGGAAGGUAGGACAGCACUUCAGAGGAAAGGGCCUUCAAUGGGAAGAUGGGGCAAAUAUUUCAGCCAGGCUCAAGCUGAUACUUGUAAGGCCACCCCAUUUUGACUCCCUCCUUCCCAACAACACAAUUGCCUUUCCUGACCUCUCCCAUGGGCCCACCUUUCCCCACAAAUGUAACAAGCUAGGAUUGUCAUUUUCUCUAUGCAGAUGCCGAUGAAUGUUUUAAAUGUCCAGAAGAUCAGCAUCCAAAUGAGCACCGGCAUCAAUGUGUCCCUAAAUUAAUCACCUUCUUAUCCUAUGAAGAAUCUUUGGGGAUCCUCUUGGCGUCUUCUGCCGUCUUCUUGUCCUUAAUCACAGGCAUUGUGUUUGGAAUCUUUGUUAAAUCCAGGAACACUCCCAUCGUCAAAGCCAACAACCGAGACCUGUCCUACAUCCUCCUCAUCUUUCUCCUGCUCUCCUUUUUGUCCUCCUUCUUCUUCAUUGGACAACCUACAAAAGCAACCUGCCUUAUGCAACAAGUGGCCUUUAGCACCAUCUUCUCAGUUGCUGUCUCUUCUAUCUUGGCAAAAACUGUCACCGUGGUCAUGGCCUUCCUGGCAGCUAAGCCUGGGAACAGGGGGAGGAGAUGGCUGGGGAAGGGUUUUGCACACUCUGUUGUCAUUUCCUGCUCCAGUGUCCAAGUUCUCAUCUGCACCAUCUGGCUUGGGGUCUCUCCCCCAUUCCCAGACUCAAACAUGCACUCCCAACCUGGAGAGAUCAUCCUGCAAUGCAACGAAGGGUCUGUGGCCAUGUUCUAUGGUGCCCUUGGCUACAUGGGCUUCCUGGCUGCCAUCUGCUUCACAGUGGCUUUCCUAGCCAGGAAGCUGCCUGGGGCCUUCAAUGAAGCCAAGCUGAUCACCUUCAGCAUGCUGGUCUUCUGCAGUGUUUGGGUGUCCUUUGUUCCCACCUACCUGAGCUCAAAAGGGAAGUACAUGGUAGCCGUGCAGGUCUUUUCUAUCUUGGCCUCCAGUGCUGGGCUUCUGGGCUGCAUCUUCCUCCCCAAGUGCUAUAUUAUAAUAUUGAGGCCUGAUCUGAAUAUGAGGAAGCAGCUGAGAACAAAAAAUUAAACAUGGCAUUUGGGAUAUGUGAAAAUCCCCCACUAGAAUCUUGACUUGAUAAGCUUAUAGAGGGAAUGAGUUUGUUUGUUUUUCUAGAUCCUAGGCCUCUCAUUCUUCAGAAGGUGCCAAUAUACUCUAUAAUUAUUUCUGUAUGUGUGUCCAAAUGCCUUCCUACUACUGUAAUGUACCGCUCACCAGGUAUAAGGUAAGUCGGAGAUCUGAAAAGAUCAUUGUCAGCAUUCCCUGUUUCCUUCACGUCACUUGUUUCUACACGCACACAUGCUUCUUAUUUUAAUUUAUGUGCUCAUGGUAGCAUGUUUCUUAGGUUGGACAUGAGAUGAGUCUACCACCAGUGACAGUAGAAAUUUAAACUGGUUCAUUUAGGGAUUUUUUAUAUCUGUUAGAGGAACCAGAUUUGCACAGAGGUGACUGUGGUCAGUUUCUGUACAAUUAUGUUAAUCCCUUACUCCUGACAUUGAUUUCCACUUCUCCUUUUCCCAAGCAAUUCUUAGUUGACCAUCCCUCUGUGGCUGUUAACUCAAACUGAUUGUUCACUUUUCAGCUGAGCGAAUCAGACAGAAUCAUGCAUUUCUAGUGCAGUUCUCCGCUCUCUGACCCUUUAAAGCUGUUGACUGUGACCUGGCUCCUCAGACUGGGCAAUUGAUGUAAACUAAAAGCUGAUCCUUUCCUCCAGCAAGGGCGAGGAGACCAAUAGCCCAAGUAUGUGUCACGUAACCAUCAUGUCUCAAAGAUGAACCAUUCAUUGGUUCAAUUCUGCUGCAAGGAAGCGGAACAUGUUUCUUGUCAGAUCAAAUGACAAAAAUUAAGCAGCCAUCUGAAUCAACUGUACCUAGUUCCCAGCAGCCACUAUGGCCAAGGAUGAGGAGUGAUGGGAGGUGGAGUUGUGUAACAUAUUGAGAGAGCUAUUAUUGGUUAUGCAGAUUGAUGAAGAGGUUGUAUGGAUAGUACUGAUUACUAGGAGGAUGUUCAGGCAGGAGCAUACAUGCUAUAUAUAGGUUUGGUGAGGUUGCUGGAAACUUGCAGACUCUGCCCUUACGAAGAGAUCCAGACGGAGGCAACGUGACAACGGGUCUUUUCUGCAGUGGCCCCCUCUUUGUGGGAUGCUUUCCCCAAGUAGGCUGUCCUUGCACCUUCCUUACACAUCUUCUGGUGUCAGGUGAAAAAGUGUCUCUUCAACCAGGCAUUUGACUUUUUAAAUUUUUUUGUAGGAGGGGGGUUAUUGGUUUGUUAUUCUCAUUUUGUAAUUUUCUGUAGUGAACAACCCUGUGAUCUUUUGAUAAAGGACGUUGUACAAAUUUAAUGAAUAAUUAAAAAAUUCAGAAAUCAGUAAUUUGUGCCACUGACAUGUGUUAUUAACAUAUAAUGAAAAAGUACACUAAAAACUACAUGAAGACUGGUUAUCUUAAUUGUUUGUAUUCAUAUCUAUUCUGUAUUUAUUCUGUAUCUGUAUUUAUAUCUAUAAAUUAGAAAAAAGUGACAUUAAAACCAGAUACUUCAAAGAUCUCAUGGAAAUCUGAAAAGCAUAGACAUUUUUUAAAAAAGCUUUUGGAACGAAAAUAUAUUGGGCAAACUGAUCUUUAUGAGGCUUAAACUACAAAGCUGGGAGAAAGCUUGGUACAUUUAAGGUUUUGAAUGAAUACUGUGGUUUUGGACAUGGCAUGGACAAUUAUUUUAGGUGGUCAGAAAGAAUGUGACUGGUCUUAGCAGAGGUAAAGUUGUUGGACCCAGACAAUAAGAAAGGGCAACUUGACAAAAGUUUUGUGCCAUCUACAGAAUUUGGAAUCCACGUGUUCAUGGCCCCAUGUAGGUAUGUCUUGCUGUCUAUGCCAACCAAAAGGGAAUGGGAGCAGUUUGACAUCACAAAUGAUGCUUGAUGUUAGGAAACCAGCUUAUUAUAGACUAAGCGGCUGUCUCCUCUUCAGAAACUGCUGGCUCUGGAUAAAAGUCCCAUUCCCUGGAAACAUCUUUGCUCUUUGAAUGCUUCAGUUUAUCUUGAUCUCUGUUGCUCUUCGGUCCAGAUUUCUUCUUGUUUUAGGGACUCUGAUUCUUACAAUAAACCUCUUGUAUAACCCAUUUCCUGUGUCUUCUUGUAUGGUCCUUAUAGCUGGCAAUCUCCUCACAAAUUAAGAAUCUGUAUUACAGCCCAGCUGGAGGACUUACCAAAGCUCUUAACAGCUUGCCUUACUUCCUAUAUGGCCACUCAACUGAUUCAAUUUGCAGAACCGGCAACGAGUUAUCGGUGCCAUAUGAUACUCGUUCUGUCCUGGUAAUAAAUCCAUCAUUUAGAGUAGCAGAACAUAUAGUUUGGCAUUCCUUGUCUUUUUUUUUUUUUUAAAUAAUUUUUAUUAACCGGCCAAUCAAAUCAAAUCACAUCACAUAAAUUCCGAAUUACAAAGCCGAAUUUUAAAUUUUGUUGAGGGGACCCAUAUUUCAAGAUCCGAAGGGGGAUUCUGAUCAUCUUCUUGCUACUGCGUUAAUGUCCAAAUCAGUCCAAACAAAGUUCAUAAUUCUAUCCACUCUUAUCUUGCUGUUUCCACAUCACAACUUGUUCAUAUAUUUUCUCUUUUUUCUUUAUGAUCUCUUCUGAUAGUCUCCUUAAGCCGAUAAACACCAAUAAUAAUCCUGUGUGAAUUUUUCCGUUCUUCCAAUCCUCAAAUCGAGAUGGUUUCCAUAUAUCAUCGCCUUCAUAGAUAACAUCGCUUUUUCCAUCAUUAAUUACAGAACUGUCGCUCUUAAGUCCCUCCGAGGAGUUCCACCCACAAUAUAAAAACAGCUCUAUUUCUCUAUUUCUCCUCCCAGACUUAAGUCCUCCGACAGAACUUCCCAAUAUGGCGACGGUAUUUUUAACUGCGUUAUUUCAAAGCCCUUAUACAUUCCACGCUGUCAGAGCUGGCUCCAGGUCCCAGCUCACAGAGGACCAACGCUAGCCGGCAGUAAUGUACAAAAGUCUUUAUUGAAGUACAGUUUCCAUUUUCAAGCCGCAGCGCCCCAGCUCUACGUCUAGGGGUUAGAUCGGCGAAGCUCCAUCUGAGUCUCCGCCCCUGUACACCAGUUUAAGAUUCUAGCCUUACUCCACCUCUUACGUCUCUCCUUUCUCCUCUGGGUCCUGCUACCCCCCGGGGUCCCUUCCUUCCUGGAUUCUUCUGACGCUGACGUUGACCCCCCUGACUCCUCCCCCUCUUUUCGGCGGGCUUUGGGACCUGGCUCCCUAUCCGGGCUGCCAACUGCGCCGCCCUCCUGUACAUUUGAACUUGGCGCGCGCGCCCAGCCUUCAACCUUCCUCUCGACCGUUUCCUCGCUCCCCGAUGGAGGCGUGGCCAAUCCUGACUCAUGUCCUCCCACUGGCAGUGCGCCGCCUGAUCCCGAUGCCUGGGACCCCUCCCGACUACUGCUCUCUGGUGUGGUCGGUGGUCCUGUUUUGCAACUGUUGCUCUCCGAGUCCCCUCUGGCCCCUUCUUCCGGGGGUGUCCCCUCGGCACCCCCUUGCUCUGACCAAGGGAGCCCCUUUCUGUGAAUCUUCCGAUUCGCUGGAAAGACUCAGAGACCUCGGACCGCUGUCAUCGCUAACAUUUCCUUCGGACUCCUCCCCCUCGCUCUCUAUUUCCUCCCUUUCCUGUGCCUCUGCUCCUGAACCCCUGACACACGCUCUUCUUAAAACAUGCUUUGCUUCGAAUGUUUAUCUCCACACAGCCUUAAAUCCACAGCUUAAGUCCUUAAAAUGACAUUUCUGACUUGUGGGGGGAGGGAUUCUUGUUUAAUCAUAUAAAGGAAAGAAAGGAAAGUUUUUUCCCCCUCCCCCAUCAGUCCCUUUGCCAUACCGAGUCUUGGCAUAUCUUCUCAUGAUUUAUACUUGUUCCUCCGACUCGUCUUGUUUUAUCAGAGAUCUCUUCUGUUAGCAGUCUUUACUCCCUCUCCUUCCUUGAAAUAUGUGCAUUCGCUUCAUCCAAAUUGUUUCUUUUGAAGUUCUUGCAGCUAGUGGCGCGGAUCAGGAGACGGCGUCCAGGAGCGCCGAAAUCCCACAGGAGGGCAUUGUGCCUAGUGCCCCCAUCCCCACAAAUUCGGGGUGGUAUAGGGCACAGCAGGCAGGGCCGUCCCCCCACAAUCCUGGGGGGUAGGAGGCUAUUUACUCCCAUCACAGCCUCCAAAUUACCUCGUGUGGGUCGGAGAGAUGUUAUUGUCAGCCAUCUUCUGAUGCGCCCCUAGUGGCCCCUGGCAUUCCUUGUCUUUUGACAUCAUCCCUUUAUUAUUUUCUGGUGCCUGGGAAAACCAUAUUUAUUCAGGGUAGCCUGUUCAGAUAUGUAGAAGCAGACAUGUCUUUUAAUCUAUUUAUAGCUUAACUGCUUAUUUUAAGAAUAUUUUGCAUUUAUUUAUUAAGAAUUUUAAAUUUUUGUUUUUUCUUGUAUACUUCUAAGAGGGUCUAUUUAUAAUUUAUAGUGUGCUUGAAAUAAAAGCAGGUGUUUAGACAAAUUUACAGAAGCAGAAAGGGCUAUCAAAGGCUCCUAGGCCUUAUUGAUAUCUUCUCUUUCCACCGUUGGAGAGAGGAUGCCUUUGGAGAAUCACAUGUAGGGAAAGUGCUUCUGCCUUCAUCUUCUGCUUGUAGGGUUCAUUUGGGGGCAUCUGCUUGGCCAUUGUAAGAAAAGGACCGUUGACUUCAUGGGCCCUUCAUGGGCCCAACCUCAGGGCUAUUGUGAUGUCAAUAACAUUCAGCCAAACUCACCUUUCUCCUUCAACCACAUCAGUCUACUUAGUAAAUAUGUUUUUUCCCUGCUCUUCACCUGCUCCUGUAGUUUCAGGGGAGAUCUUCAUUCCCUUUACAAUCAUCAGAAUCACAGUAAUCUAUUUUUAUUCUUUCCUAAGCCCAAGUCACCCCAACCCCACCUUAAAUACUGCAUUUGGGACCAAUAAGCUAAACAUCACGAUCAAGGGCAACAGGGGGUUGUUUAUUCCACUGUGCCUGAAAGAUCUGGUGUAUAAAACACCUUCUGGGUGCAGAACAGAUGCUCUUCGACUGAGCCAUGAUCCUUCCCUUCCCCUUUGUCUCUGAAGCCUGAUCCAGUAACCCCACCCUCACCCCACCCUCAUAUUUGUCAAGUCCCUGAAACAUCAUUCUUUCAAGAGACGGGAUUUCUUCUGAAUAGCUGGCUAUGAAGUCAGGAGGAAUAACCAAUAGGGAAGUGUAGCAAGUAGACCCGGAAUGACAACACUGCUUCUGCUGCUGCCGCUUGCAACCUAUGGGAUGCAGCAGAGGACUAAAUGCCCACUGAAUCUGAUCAGGGAUCAAAAUUGGGCUAUGAAUUUUUACAGGCCAGGAGACCAGCUCAUUAGUGGAUUCAUAUCUUCAAAGGUUAUUGGAGGUCAAUAUCCGUUCUCCUUUACCAGCACUCCAUUAACAAAAUUUGAGUAGUAAGUAAUGGUGUAUUAAUGUUUUCCUGUCUACUCUCCAACUUUACAAACAAACAAAAGAAUUGCCUGCUGCAUCUGAUUAAUUCCGCAUUUAUUGAAACAUCCUUUCCCCACACUGCCCUACCAGGUACUUGUGGAAAAACAGGGAGCAGAAUACUCUUCUUCUUCUUCUUCUUCUUCUUCUUCUUCUUCUUCUUCUUCUUCGUCAAAAGCAGGGAUCAGAAAAUGACCACAAACACACUCUCCCCUCCUGUGCCUUCCAGAACUGAUAUUCAGAAGCAUUUCCAUGAAUUUGCCUUAUCUUCUUUUAAAGCUAACUUGGCCACCAUCACUGUCUUCCGGGGGAGCAAGAUCCACAGCACUGUGCAAAGAAGUCAGUUUGCAUCUGUCCUGAAUAGUCUCCAGUUUUAGUGUUUUUAGAGAAGGAGAAAAUUGUUUAUCCGUUUUCUCCACAAUAUGCAUAAUUUUAAAAAAUCAUGUCCUGUCCUUUCUUGCUCACCGUUUCUCAACUAUAAAGAGCAAAACAUUGCAAUGUGUCCUCAUUUAUUUUCAAUUCCUUUCCUGUUGAUCCAUAGCUCAGAAAUUCCCAUUUUUACAGCCACCUAACAUGGAUUUGACUACUAUGAUCCCAAGGUCUCACUCCUGGUCCUUCCCUCCCAGUUCAGAAUCCAUGCACAUGUAAAACUCUAGAUCAUUUAUGAACAAGAUAAGAAGCACCGGUCCCAAUAUCGAUCCUCAGGGGACUCCACUUUCUACUCCUCUUCAUUUGGAGAAUUGUCCAUUUAUUCCUACAUUUUGCUUCCUGCAACUUAACCAGUUCCUGAUUCACAAGAGGACUUCUCUUCUUAUUCCUUGACUUCUAAUCUUGCAUAUGAGUCUUUGGUGACAUACUUUGUCAAAAGCUGUUUGAAAGUCUAUGUACACCAUGUCAACAGGAUCACCAGACAAAUUUUCAGUUUUUCAAAAGAAGUCUUCUUGCUUCAAAUAGCUUCUUUGGCUGUACUCAUUAACCAAGCUGAUAUGAUCUCGGCCCUCAUGGUAUCUUUCCUUAUUUGGUGUAUAUACUCAACUUGAGUCUCUACUACAGUGUUCUUAAACAACUCCAAAGUGUUUGGGAGCGAUUGACCCUCUUGACUUUGCCUUUCAACUUCCUUUUUACCAAGCUUUGUGGUGUGUAUGCUUUGAUGUAUCUGAAUCAGCCCCUAUGUUCUGGUACUCCUGGUAAAUCAAUAUCUUUUUUUUUUUGAAGAAGGAGGAAGCAUCUUGUUCAGUGAGAUCAAAUACAAUGGGGAAAUCUGAAUUAGGUAUAAUAUUUUUUAAAAGCAAGAAGCACCUCCUUUUGCUUUAAAUCAGUGAGAUGAAACUCACUGAAACUAUUCUGAGUAUUUGCUGGGGCAUUAAACGAAAAUGUCAAUGCAUGGGGACCUGUGAUUUAAUUCAUUCAUUUAUUAAAACAUUUCUAGACAUUUCCCAUCAAUAUAACCCCUACACAGACACCUCUGUGAUGAUGAUGAUGAUGAUGAUGAUGAUGGCCUUAAAAUAUCUCGUUCUUCUCCAAUAAAAGAGAAAGAACUAAACCAGAUAUAGUUGGGUUGUAUGUGGCAUGUUAAAAUGACAGAGAUGAGGACUGGAGUAAUCAUUUUGUGAUAUUAUGGCAGUGGACAUAGCUGUAUUGUAACAUUUGAAUAAUUUUAUUAAAAAAUCUAUAUGUAUGUUCACUUGGUGAAAAGCAGUAUUUCAAUGUGUUUUACAUUACAAUUUAAGUUAAAAACAUUCAGUCAUGCUUCCCAUGAGGAACUUGUCUUCUCUAAGAAGCUGUGAGGUAUGUUUGAGUGGCAGCUUUUCAGUAAUAAGCAAUAUGAAAUUCAUUCUCUCAUUGUGUCUUAUGGACUCUUGGAGAAGGUUGAAUGCUGAGGCCAUGAUCCUUAGCAUGAAAAUUGGGGAGUUUCCUAUUCUCAAUCUGAAAUGAUUUUCUGGAAGUCUAUCCAUGGAAUUAGCACCCCAGGUUUUUACUCAUUGCCCUAUGCUUGGAGUUGGAAGAGAGACUGGUUCUCUAAUGGAGAAAAGUGAAUAAUAAGGUAACUCUCCUUCCCCUGUAUAAGGCAGGCUUCUCCUUUAUAGCUGGGUACAAUUUUAGAUGGAAAGAACGAUUUUCAGUGGGAAGUGCACAAUUCUUCUACCACGGCACAACAUAAUCUAUGUAACUGAAUGUGACUUCCAUUUUCUCUGAAUCAAGGGUGACUAUGUGACAUACUUUCCUCUGCAGCUGGAUGGGUGGGAAGGACUGGCACAUUCUUUCCUCCGCACUUGCCACUCAGGAGAUCAAUCUUAACCCCAGGCUCUUACCCAACAUCACCCUGGGCUACAGCAUCUACGAUACCUUUUUUGAGGCAAGAACAACUACUGAUGCCCUGACAGACCUCUUUGCUGGUGGGAAAAUCAACAUUCCAAACUACAUCUGUGGAAAACGGAAGACACCACUAGCUGUUCUUGAAGGGGGUGAAUCCGACAUCUCCAUGCACAUUGCAAGCAUUUCAGGAAUCUACAAGAUCCCACAAGUAAGAAUUGGGUUCAAGUCAAACACAGCUGGCAACAUUUGCCAUCUUGUGAAAAACAAUACAAAAACCAAGUUUUUCUUAUGAUAAUGAAUUUAUUGCUUACUUUACAUUGUACGUUGCUUUGAAACAUUGCUUUUCAUGCAAUGGGAAGCCAUACAAAGAUAUUUCAGUUUCGGGAUCAUUAGAAAAAAAGUGGAUUGGACAAAUUCAUGGAGGAUGGCUACUAGCCGGGAUGCCUAUUGCAGAGCUGGAGACACUGUUGGCAUCUGUCUGGCUAAGUAUAAAAGGGAGUGCACCUCCGAAGCGAAGUCAAUCCACUGUGUUAGCAGAAUCAAAACCAGAUUCAUAAGGCCCUUAAUUAUUUGGGUCCAGGACAUCUCAAGAAUGACAUAAUCCCUUGUACAUGUCCCCAAUCACUGAACCCUUGGGAGGAGUCACUCUUAGUGGCUCAGAUGAACAGCUUGUUUCCAGCAAGAGCCACAAUUGUGGAACUCAUUUCACAGAACUCUCUCCCAGCUGAGGUCAGACAAGGUUACUUAAAAACCUUCCAGAGCCUAAUGAAGACCUUUAUUUUUAACAGCAUGCAGUAGCCAGUUCAAAUGAAAUAUGAUCUUGUAGUUUUAACUUUUGUCUUUUUUAAAUCAAACCUUUGAAAACUGCUUAGAGUCCAUUCUCAUCCUGAGGUCAAGUUCUUAAGCCGAGGUACUACUUCCGGGUUAGCGGAGUCUGUAACCCAAGGCACCACUUAUAAAUUGCUUAAAUGAAAAAAGGUUAUUUUUAAAAUAUUUGAUGUUUAUGCUAAUUAAAAAUUAAAUAUGUCAUAAUCUUUCACAUAGAAGUAAAGUAUUCAAUCAUUGCCCUGAAAAACAAAACCCCAGUCUCUUUUUCUUUCCUCACCAGCUCAGUUAUGGCUUUGUUCCUCAUGAUAAAGUCCAGUCCCCUUUUGUCUACCAAAUGACACCAAAGCAAGAGACUCAGUACCAGGGGAUGGUCCAACUCCUCCUGCAUUUCAGAUGGACGU